UUGACUGCAGCCUUGUGAGGCACUCUGAGCCAGAGGACAUCCAACUAAGCUGCAUCUAGAUUCCUGACCUAUAGAAACUGUGAGAUAAUAUCACUGAUGUUUAUAUUUUAAGACUUGGGCCACAGCCACCAUUGAAGACCACUGCACAAGUCCCACCCUAUGAAUGAAUGAAUGAAUGAAUGAAUGAGUUUUGGCAUCAGACAAAACUGGAUUCCAAUCGUG